GAAUGUCAGUGAAAGACUGAAUCAAACAUCUGGGGCUCAUGGAUAAGCCCGCUCUACCCGAUUCUGGAGUAACGGUUUUCCUAUCUCGCCUACAAUCCAUUCAACCAUGUAUGACAUACUGAGUGUCCACUCUGUGCAAAACCUCCAGAAACACAAAGAUGGGUCACUGGAACAUGCGCAGACAUGAACGAAUUAGCUGCCAAAUGAGAGAAAAGGCAAACCAAAGAAAUCAACAGCCCAAUGUACAAACUGAAACACUAGUUUCUCAACGUGAGACUUCCAGGGGAUAGUUUAACUGGAUUUCUGAUGAUCGCUAUAAAACAUAAUUCCUCAGGACACUUUGAAAAGCACAAUAAGUGAAAUUAGCAGGACCCGCUUCAGGAAAAACUUUUGCUACCAUGUUGUAGGAGUUGGAUGCAGAGACGGAAGAAAGUGUGGCCAUCACAAAGGACCCAAUGGCCAUGAGGGGACCGCGAAUGGGGCCUAAUGAAGCAUCAGACAGCCUCUUCACUGGCUUUCAUUUGAAAACAGAAGAACUAUAGAUAAUUUAAAUGUCUCAAGUGAUUCCAAUGGUUUUCCCAGCCCAAUUCUAGAAUCUUACUUUCUAACUCAACAUUCUUGUGGACUCUCCCUACUCCCUCGUUACGCUUUUUGAAUAGUGAUUCUAAGAACAGAGACAAAAAAGCAGAAGAUUCAUCCACUGCAAACAGGCACCAAACACAUGCCCCCCAAAAACAGGGAAGUAACUCGCUGUGAAGUAUUUCUGGAAUUUUCUAGAAAACGGGCUGAGAAGUGUCA